rnacentral:rRNA from 1 species
AGCAGCCGCGGUAAUUCCAGCUCCAAUAGCGUAUAUUAAAGUUGUUGCAGUUAAAAAGCUCGUAGUUGAAUUUCGGGAUCAGAUUGUCGGUCGUGCCUCGGUACGCACUGGCAUUAUUGGUUCCUACCUUCUGAAGAACCGCGAUGUCAUUAAUUUGGUGUCGUGGGGAAUCAGGACUGUUACUUUGAAAAAUUAGAGUGUUUAAAGCAGGCGCACGCUUGAAUACAUUAGCAUGGAAUAAUGAAAUAGGACGUUUGAUUCUAUUUUGUUGGUUUCUAGGAUCGACGUAAUGAUUAAUAGGGAUAGUUGGGGGCAUUAGUAUUCAAUUGUCAGAGGUGAAAUUCUUGGAUUUUAUUGAAGACUAACUACUGCGAAAGCAUUUGCCAAGGAUGUUUUCAUUAAUCAAGAACGAAAGUUAGGGGAUCGAAGACGAUCAGAUACCGUCGUAGUCUUAACCAUAAACUAUGCCGACUGGGGAUCGGAUGAUGUUAAUUUUUAAUGACUCAU